rnacentral:rRNA from 1 species
AACGAACGCUGGCGGCAUGCCUAACACAUGCAAGUCGAACGAGACCUUCGGGUCUAGUGGCGCACGGGUGCGUAACGCGUGGGAACCUGCCCUUAGGCUCGGAAUAACCCCCCGAAAGGGGUGCUAAUACCGGAUAAUGUCUUCGGACCAAAGAUUUAUCGCCUUUGGAUGGGCCCGCGUUGGAUUAGCUAGUUGGUAGGGUAAAAGCCUACCAAGGCGACGAUCCAUAGCUGGUCUGAGAGGAUGAUCAGCCACACUGGGACUGAGACACGGCCCAGACUCCUACGGGAGGCAGCAGUGGGGAAUAUUGGACAAUGGGCGAAAGCCUGAUCCAGCAAUGCCGCGUGAGUGAUGAAGGCCUUAGGGUUGGAAAGCUCUUUUACCCGGGAUGAUAAUGACAGUACCGGGAGAAUAAGCUCCGGCUAACUCCGUG